rnacentral:rRNA from 1 species
UACGUAGGGGGCAAGCGUUGUCCGGAUUCAUUGGGCGUAAAGAGCGUGUAGGCGGCCAGGUAGGUCGGUUGUGAAAACUGGAGGCUCAACCUUCAGAGGUCGACCGAAACCAUCUGGCUAGAGUCCGGGAGAGGAGAGUGGAAUUCCUGGUGUAGCGGUGAAAUGCGCAGAUAUCAGGAAGAACACCUGUGGCGAAGGCGGCCAUCUGGACGGUAACUGACGCUGAGACGCGAAAGCGUGGGUAGCAAACAGG